rnacentral:rRNA from 1 species
AUUUUAAAGUAAAAGUCGUAACAAGGUCUCCGUUGGUGAACCAGCGGAGGGAUCAU